ACGCUCGACACCUACGGGAGCAGCAGUGGGGAAUAUUGCACAAUGGGGGAAACCCUGAUGCAGCGACGCCGCGUGGAGGAAGAAGGUCUUCGGAUUGUAAACUCCUGUUGUUGGGGAAAAAGAGGAUGGUACCCAACAAGGAAGUGACGGCUAACUACGUGCCGANNCGCGAGUAUNGNGGCGNGNGAGAG
rnacentral:rRNA from 1 species